rnacentral:rRNA from 1 species
GAUGAACGCUAGCUACAUGCUUAACACAUGCAAGUCGAGGGGCAGCAUUUCAGUUUGCUUGCAAACUGGAGAUGGCGACCGGCGCACGGGUGAGUAACACGUAUCCAACCUGCCGAUAACUCGGGGAUAGCCUUUCGAAAGAAAGAUUAAUACCCGAUAGUAUAAUUAGACCGCAUGGUCUUGUUAUUAAAGAAUUUCGGUUAUCGAUGGGGAUGCGUUCCAUUAGGCAGUUGGUGAGGUAACGGCUCACCAAACCUUCGAUGGAUAGGGGUUCUGAGAGGAAGGUCCCCCACAUUGGAACUGAGACACGGUCCAAACUCCUACGGGAGGCAGCAGUGAGGAAUAUUGGUCAAUGGGCGCAGGCCUGAACCAGCCAAGUAGCGUGAAGGAUGACUGCCCUAUGGGUUGUAAACUUCUUUUAUAUGGGAAUAAAGUUUUCCACGUGUGGAAUUUUGUAUGUACCAUAUGAAUAAGGAUCGGCUAACUCCGUGCCAGCAGCCGCGGUAAUACGGAGGAUCCGAGCGUUAUCCGGAUUUAUUGGGUUUAAAGGGAGCGUAGGUGGACAGUUAAGUCAGUUGUGAAAGUUUGCGGCUCAACCGUAAAAUUGCAGUUGAUACUGGCUGUCUUGAGUACAGUAGAGGUGGGCGGAAUUCGUGGUGUAGCGGUGAAAUGCUUAGAUAUCACGAAGAACUCCGAUUGCGAAGGCAGCUCACUGGACUGCAACUGACACUGAUGCUCGAAAGUGUGGGUAUCAAACAGG